UUCUUCAGGGCAGGGUGAAAUUCCCGACCGGCGGUGAUCGAAACGUCUCCUGAUCGCGACACCAUGCGACCGGAGCCGCGUUUCCCAAGUCCGCGAGCCAUAUCUGGCACGAACCGGUGCGAUUCCGGUACCGACAGUACAGUCUGGAUGGAAGAGGAA
rnacentral:ncRNA from 1 species